AUACGGGGGGGGCAAGCGUUGUUCGGAAUUACUGGGCGUAAAGGGUUCGUAGGUGGCCUGCUAAGUCAGACGUGAAAUCCCUCAGCUUAACUGGGGAACUGCGUCUGAGACUGGUGGGCUUGAGGACAGGAGAGGAACGCGGAAUUCCAGGUGUAGCGGUGGAAUGCGUAGAUAUCUGGAGGAACACCGGUGGCGAAGGCGGCGUUCUGGACUGUUUCUGACACUGAAGAACGAAAGCCAGGGGAGCAAACGGGA
rnacentral:rRNA from 1 species